rnacentral:rRNA from 1 species
AUUGAACGCUGGCGGCAUGCCUUACACAUGCAAGUCGAACGGUAACAGGUCUUCGGACGCUGACGAGUGGCGAACGGGUGAGUAAUACAUCGGAACGUGCCCAGUCGUGGGGGAUAACUACUCGAAAGAGUAGCUAGUACCGCAUACGAUCUGAGGGAGAAAGCGGGGGACCUUCGGGCCUCGCGCGAUUGGAGCGGCCGAUGGCAGAUUAGGUAGUUGGUGGGAUAAAAGCUUACCAAGCCGACGAUCUGUAGCUGGUCUGAGAGGACGACCAGCCACUCUGGGACUGAGACACGGCCCAGACUCCUACGGGAGGCAGCAGUGGGGAAUUUUGGACAAUGGGCGAAAGCCUGAUCCAGCAAUGCCGCGUGCAGGAUGAAGGCCUUCGGGUUGUAAACUGCUUUUGUACGGAACGAAAAAGCUUCUCCUAAUACGAGAGGCCCAUGACGGUACCGUAAGAAUAAGCACCGGCUAACUACGUGUCAGCCGCCGCGGUAA